rnacentral:rRNA from 1 species
GACGAACGCUGGCGGCAUGCCUAAUACAUGCAAGUUGAGCGAUGAAGAUUGGUGCUUGCACCAAUUUGAAGAGCAGCGAACGGGUGAGUAACGCGUGGGGAAUCUGCCUUUGAGCGGGGGACAACAUUUGGAAACGAAUGCUAAUACCGCAUAACAACUUUAAACAUAAGUUUUAAGUUUGAAAGAUGCAAUUGCAUCACUCAAAGAUGAUCCCGCGUUGUAUUAGCUAGUUGGUGAGGUAAAGGCUCACCAAGGCGAUGAUACAUAGCCGACCUGAGAGGGUGAUCGGCCACAUUGGGACUGAGACACGGCCCAAACUCCUACGGGAGGCAGCAGUAGGGAAUCUUCGGCAAUGGACGAAAGUCUGACCGAGCAACGCCGCGUGAGUGAAGAAGGUUUUCGGAUCGUAAAACUCUGUUGGUAGAGAAGAACGUUGGUGAGAGUGGAAAGCUCAUCAAGUGACGGUAACUACCCAGAAAGGGACGGCUAACUACGUG